AUACGGAGGGGGUUAGCGUUGUUCGGAAUUACUGGGCGUAAAGCGUACGUAGGCGGACUGGAAAGUUGGGGGUGAAAUCCCGGGGCUCAACCCCGGAACUGCCUCCAAAACUUCCAAUCUAGAGAUCGAGAGAGGUGAGUGGAAUUCCAAGUGUAGAGGUGAAAUUCGUAGAUAUUUGGAGGAACACCAGUGGCGAAGGCGGCUCACUGGCUCGAUACUGACGCUGAGGUACGAAAGCGUGGGGAGUAAACAGGAUUAGAAACCCUAGUAGUCC
rnacentral:rRNA from 1 species